GGGGAUAAUACCCCAUAGGCUAUGGAAGCUGGAAUGCUCUGUAGUUGAAAGGUCAGCCGCCUUAGGAUGGGUCUGCGGCCGAUUAGGUUGUUGUUGGGGUAACGGCCCAACAAGCCUGUAAUCGGUACGGGUUGUGGGAGCAAGAGCCCGGAGAUGGAUUCUGAGACACGAAUCCAGGCCCUACGGGGCGCAGCAGGCGCGAAAACUUUACAAUGCGGGAAACCGUGAUAAGGGAACUCCGAGUGCCCGUUAAAUCGGGCUGUCCACCAGUUUAAAAAACUGGUGAAGAAAGGGCCGGGCAAGACCGGUGCCAGCCGCCGCGGUAAUACCGGCGGCUCGAGUGGUGGCCACUAUUACUGGGCUUAAAGCGUUCGUAGCUGGUUUGUUAAGUCUCUGGGGAAAUCUUCCGGCUUAACCGGAAGGCGUCUCAGGGAUACUGGCAGACUAGGGACCGGAAGAGGUGAGGGGUACUCCAGGGGUAGGAGUGAAAUCCUGUAAUCCUUGGGGGACCACCUGUGGCGAAGGCGCCUCACCAGGACGGCUCCGACAGUGAGGGACGAAAGCUGGGGGAGCAAACCGGAUUAGAUACCCGGGUAGUCCCAGCCGUAAACGAUGUGCGUUAGGUGUAUCGGUGACCACGAGUCACCGAGGUGCCGAAGAGAAAUCGUGAAACGUACCGCCUGGAAGUACGGUCGCAAGGCUGAAACUUAAAGGAAUUGGCGGGGGAGCACC
rnacentral:rRNA from 1 species